rnacentral:tRNA from 1 species
GGAGAGGUCGCAUAGCGGUCUAGUGCGAUAGUUUCGAAAACUAUUGACCUCGCAAGGGGUCCGUGGGUUCGAAUCCCACCCUCUCCGCCA